rnacentral:misc_RNA from 1 species
UUUUAUACACCAAUAAUGAUAAUUUCAGGGGGAGUGUUGCUCAGUCUGGAGGAAGGCACGAGCUUCUGGAGUCUUUCACUCAUCUGGAAGAUCUUCCUUUCCUCAAUGGUGGCAACUUUCACCCUCAAUUUGUCACUCAGCGCUUUUGAAGGACAUCCAGGCCAACUCACCCACCCUGGUCUGCUGUUUUUCGGAAAACUGAAUGAUACGAUCACCAACUAUGAGGUAUUUGAGUUGCCAAUCUUCAUCGGAAUGGGAGCAAUUGGAGGUGUCCUGGGAGCUGUAUUUGUAGCCAUCAACAUGAGGAUUGCCACCUUCCGGAUGAAAUAUGUGAAGAAGCAGUGGAUCAAGCUGUGUGAAGCUCUGUUGGUGGCAUUCAUGACAGCUACAGCUGGGGCAACCUCUAUCUACUUCCUUGAUGACUAUUGCCAUGGCCACACGGAGGACACCAUCAAGUUUGCAGUCAAGGUUUUCUGCCCCGAUAACCACUACAAUGAGUUGAGUUCGUUUUGGUUCCAGAGAGCAGAAGAUACGCUUAGAUCAUUGUUUCACGACCCUAAAGGUUCAUACAAUGUGGUUCCACUGAUUGUGUUCUUCGUGUUGUACUUCAUGAUGUCGGUGGUGACGACAGGACUGAGUGUGUCUGCUGGCGUGUUCGUGCCUGCCUUACUGUCUGGAGCUGCGUGGGGACGGCUCAUAGGCAUCGGCAUCCAAAACUGUUUCCCUGACUCGGCCUGGGCAGAGCCGGCGAAGUAUGCAGUGAUUGGCGCAGCUGCACAUCUCGGUGGUAUCUCGCGCAUCUCCAUCAGCCUGACAGUGAUGAUGAUCGAGGCUACGGGGAACAUCACAUUUGGCCUUCCACUGAUGCUGACCCUCAUCACAACCAAGUGGGUCGGUGACCUGUUCACAGAGGGAGUGUACGAGAUGCAGAUCUACCUAUUGGGGGUACCUCUGCUACCGUCGGCGCCACCGCCCCUCUCAGCUGACAUCAAGGCAACAGAAGUGAUGAGUGCGCCAGCUGUGGUAUUCCCUGCCAAGGUGCGAGUGGGUCGGCUUAUCGACAUACUGGAGAAUGUGCCUCACAAUGGGUUUCCCAUUGUUGAUUCCGCACACACAUCUAGUCAGGGUGUGCUUAAAUCAGUUGGGCGACUGAAGGGCCUGAUACUGCGGUCACAGCUGAUAGUUUUACUACGCAACAAGUGUUUCAACGAGACACCCCCAACGAGCAGCGACGAGUUGAGACGUAAACUGCGUAUGUUCCGUGACGCCUAUGCCAACAAUCAGCAUGUAGAGGUUCUGGACUCGACUGUACUUGGUCUGUCCGCAUGUUAACAGUGUUACAAAUUUGUAACUGAAGUGUAACAGUGUUGGUGUGUUGCAAGCUGCAUGGAGGCUGGAUUGACAAUGUACGAAUAACAGAAUCUGAGUAUGAUUUGAUGUUGGACCUCAGGCCAUAUAUGAACCCCUCACCGUACACUGUCAAAUAUAAUGCCUCUUUACCAAGAAUUUUCCGGUUGUUUCGUGG